GUGGUGAAAAUGCGAGCUCUCUCUGUCAAGUCUUAUUUGCCCAGUGCCAAAAGGGGGUGCAAUUGGACUAUACAAGUUCAUAUUACUCUGAGCUUAAAUUGCUGUAAUCUCUUAACAGUAAUUGCUCAGUAGUCAGAAUACUCAACAUCUAUCGCCAAGGGAACAAGAUGUUCAUCAGAGGUGUUGUCUACCUACUGUGUAUAACAGGUCCAUCUCUGUGUUCCAAAGUAAAACAGGCUCCAUCAAAUCUCUUAAAAAAUCAUGGAGAAUCUGCACAAAUCGAGUGCUCCCACAGCAUAUCAACUUAUAAUUGUAUUCUGUGGUACAGCAGAAGCAGUGGUGGAGAGUUCACAUUUUUGGGAUAUCUCAUGAUAACUGCGGAUAGGCCUGAGACUGAGUACAAAGACAAAAUUGAGCUGAAAGGCAAUGCCAAUGAGAAUCAAAACAGUUCUAUAACCAUCAACAACCUGUCAUCAACCGACACAGCAGUGUAUUACUGUGCUGCUAGUCUGCACAGUGCUGCAGACGCUCUCUCCUCUUUGCAAAUACCACUUUGAAUCUUCUGAUCAAGCUGCACCACAGCAGCCAGUAUUGUUUGGUUUUGACUAGUGUCAGUGUGUCCCACUGGGGUUUGUGUGUUAGACUAAUAGAAUGCGUGCUGCAUGGUGUUAGCAGAUGUGGGUGUUGGUGGAAAAGAACACAUUUACAACUCGUUGGCAAUUGACUUAAGCAUUAUGCUGACAAUAUUAGUUUAAAAUUGAUUCAUACAUUAAUCUCCAUAUCCUUAUUUUAUCGAGUCACACGUGUGCUCCCUUCCUAACAUGGCCAACAUAUAUGUGUUCCGUGAUACAAUAUUUUGAGACCAACAUGGGAUCAAAAACGCAGUCUCACUAGGGGACACUUUGUCUCUUUCUUUCCUGUUAAGGCCCUCGGGUUCUCUUUCAUAUCUGCCACAUGCUGUUCAUAGCAGUGCUGGAGCUUUGACUUCACCUCAGUCCAUUAUCAACAUGUGUGCAGCUUAGCUCACUGCCCUCACACUGCUCUGGUUAAUGGGGAAAUAUCAAAAUAAUGAAUUCUCUUCAGCCAU
ensembl:lncRNA